GCACAGAAAGGUGAAGCAACUUACUGAAGAUUGUAUGGUCAAGUUUGCAAUGAAGGAAAAAAAAUCAUUCCCCUUGUCCAAAAUCAUAAGCUACUGUUGUGAAUUAGGGCACCUAGUGCUAUUUUUCUCUUAUAUGACUCUGAUCUACUCUGUCCAAAUCUUGGGAGUAUGUAUAACCUGAGACACCAUUUGUCCCAUACAUAAGAAAUGUACAAGAGAGACUGUUUGUAGGUGAGUUGUAUGGGAUGCUGUGUAUGUUGUCAGGCUGCCCAGAAAUAAUUUAUAUUUAUUCACAGAAAACAGUUAAAAGAAAAAAAAAUCCUUGUGUUUCUGUCUUUCUGCUCUUUAAUUCCACCUGUGUUUUUGAGGCUUGCAUACUGCAGAUGCUGUCUGUAAACUCCCACUUCAAUUUUCUGUUAAGCUUUUGGCAGGAGGGAAAGUGUCUCAAAAAAGGAUGAAAAUGAAAGAGACAGCCAGACAAUAUUUGGUUCACUAGAAAAAAAAAUAAAAUCACAGUUUCUUUCAGGAAGCAGAGGAAGCGGAAGAAACUAUACAUAACUAGAAAUCCUUAUGUUGUUUGAAAUCCAUGAAUGCCUAAUUUGGUACCCCGGCUUGAGAUGGCAAAUCAGCAGCCUUUUAUAAGUGUGGGUGCUGAUAUUUUCCACUAGUCUUCAGUUUAAAAGCAGUGACAGGAUUUCAAAGGGAGAAAGAUAAAUACAAUUUUCUGGUGAGGAACACAGUCCGUAAUUCAUAAGACAUUCAGGAUGCAGGAACAGUUGCUACAGGCCAACUGUGAAUUGCCAGACGUGUAGGUCAACAUAUGUCAAAGAAGGAAGGAAAAUACUUAGUACUGAAGACACAACCUUGGCUUUUUGAUGCCUGGAUUUUCCAGCAGUAUUGGAUUCCAGAGGAUGUUAUCCAAGCAAGGUGGAAGAAUGCAACCCCAUGCGUGCAGCUUCAUCUGUGUCAGACUGUUGGGACAGGGAACAGGGUGAGAUGUGCAAAGGGUCACACCCAUGAAGGCAGGUAAGUUCCUGUUCUUA